CUAACAAAAGUUAAUUUGGGGCACGGAGAUUUUUAAAUAAUCUUUGCUAGCUUGAACUCUUUGGGAGAGUAAAUUUGGAGUCCACACACCACAGUAGUUAUACCACUCAGUAGAUAGCUUGCUACUAUUUUGUGUCUUACAUU